rnacentral:rRNA from 1 species
CACGUAGGAGGCGAGCGUUGUCCGGAUUUAUUGGGCGUAAAGAGCUCGUAGGCGGUUUGGCAAGUCGGGUGUGAAAACUCCGGGCUCAACUCGGAGACGCCACUCGAUACUGCCAUGACUCGAGUCCGGUAGGGGAGUGCGGAAUUCCUGGUGUAGCGGUGAAAUGCGCAGAUAUCAGGAGGAACACCGAUGGCGAAGGCAGAUCUCUGGGCCGUAACUGACGCUGAGGAGCGAAAGCAUGGGGAGCGAACAGG